CUCAGAGAUACUACUGUAGUAGCAAGGUAGAUUGACGCUGUGGGAGAAUUCAUCGUCAACUCCUGCAAACUGUUUCAAACCAGACAACACGUUCAUCCCGCAGAUAAAACAGCUGAGUGAAUGAAGUGAGUACUGAGGUAUUUUGUGUUUCAGUUUGUGUCUUUCUAAAGAUACACUUAAGGUUUGUGUGCUUUUGUUGUUUUGUUUUUAUUGCCAUGAUGUUUAGAUAAAGCAGGGGGCAAACACAGGUAACAAUAUAACAACAAAUACAAGGUUUGCGAGAUCACCCUCAAACACAAUAACACAACAGGUAACCCUGGGAAAAAGUUCAUUAUCAGUCCAAAAGACUAACUUAUUGGCAAUGACAACGAUAUGCGAGCAAUAUAUGUUACCUCGCCAGGUCCUCUGGAUGUUACUUCGGGUUCUGGCUCAUAGCCAGUCACGGAACCCGAAGUAACAAAUAGGUCUAGUACUGUAGUUAUUGUGACAUUAUUCUAUAAGGUAACUAAGAAGAUUCUAUUAACCCCCUAAUAACUUUACUUACUGCCAAACGUUUCUUGGUAGUAAGUAUAGAGGUUGUACUUAUUACAAGUACAAAAAGAACUGGAUUCCUAUUUUGCCUUAAAGGCAUAAAUCUUACUAGGUGGUGACUUGAAUAACCAUUUUCCCUCAACAAUAAUCAACAGAUAAAUUCUUAAUACACAAAAACGACACUUUAAGUGUUCCAGAUUAAAUUUAAACCAUCUUCCCUAUUCUUUUUUCUUUUAAAGUAUUUGACUACUACUAGACUGUCAAGAAGCACUUUGCAAUGACUAAAAAGGAGCCAGUAUAUUUCUAAAAUCCGUGCCAAUAAGCACCUCGUUAAUGUUGAAAAUGUGUACCUAGAUAUAAAGUGCACCAUAUGCAAUAAUGCUGAAACACUGGAUGGAUAUUAGCACUUUUAAUUUUUUCUUAAUAUACAUUUUCUAUCCAGAGAUGCUUUCUUUUCUUUGUUAAAUAAAAUUAAAUUUGCGGUUUGGCAGUUUAAUAGGAACCAAAGUGGACUGUGGCCUAAGCUCUAUGGAUAAAAGUUUUCAUCCAAUGACUCUUUGAAUUCAGGUGUUUUCACUCUCAUUACCACGGGCAUAUAAAAUCAAGCACCUGGCUCUGCAGUCUGCCUGUACCAAUACACUGUAAAAUGUAAUAUUGUGUUUAAUUAAAAAUAUUAAAUAGGCUGAACUCAGGUUUUAUCAAUUUGUUAUUAGAACUCGAUUCAAAUAAGUUACCAGUACUUUUUAUGCAAAUGCUGAUAAACUCAAUUUAUUUGAGUUGUCUUAACUUAGAAAAACUAAGUAAGAUGGAAGUUUUGCUUCUCAGUGCGGAAGGAUGAAAGAUGUGUUUUGAAAAUGCCACGUCACCACCGUCCUCCUCCCUCUCGGAUCAGUCCGCAUGUUCAUGGUACCAGUAUUUUUUAUGGAAUAUGUUGAGCAAACCUGGAAAAGCGUCAGCUCAAGAUAUUAUUGUUGUCAUUGCUGUGGAUCUUUACCUGAUACACUGACUUGGUGAGUAAAUGUUUACUCUUAUUCAAACUGAUUUUGUGGCUUCUCUUAGUUUAGCACCAGGUUUAUAAUCUUGCUAGCUAGUUAGUGUUAGCCUAGCCUGUGUGUACUGUGCGUAAAAACGUAUUACUUUUUCUGGGUCAUAAAAUAAACUUUUAAGAUAUUUUCAGGCGAGAAUGUAGCUGUGUAAAGUUCAAGUAUCUGCUCGAUUUAUCAAGACAUCACAUAUUUGCAAAGAUGCGCCGAAGUUUUCAGAGAUGUCCAUUUUUCCAUGCUUUGUGGCAGCUUUUGGACAUCUGUGACAUCUAUUAAUGUCAAAUCUAGCCUUUAUUUAACAACAUAAGCAAAAUGUUACAAUGAUUGCACAGCCAUUAAGGAUCAAAUCAGUUUCUGAAAAAUGUUCUGUUUUUUCUCCCUCUGCUUGCUUCUUACUGUCUUUGAGGCUCGGGACCAACACUCCUACUGUUGGACAGAAAGACAUCAACUUGAGAUAUGACUGCACUAUGCUGUUACUGGUGACUCCAGUUAAUUCUACAAGACAUGCUGUAACAACAGGAGAGAUGAGUCCUCCAUCAAAGAUGGUGUGGUCAGUGAAGAUGGUCGCCUGCAGGUUCAAGCUCAUUGCAUCUCCAACCCACAUCCACUGCCACUGUACUUAAGGGAAGUUAAAGACUUUCUUCUGCACUUACAUUUGGAUCACCUCGAUCCAUGAUAGUCAUUCAGGCAGUAAUGCCUGGACUGGAAACAAGCCAUGCUUAAAAUAUUACAACAUUCCAGCUCAUGUGUUGGAAUGAAAAACAAAUGUGUUGUUUAAAUUAGAGACUGCACUUGUGACAGAACAACAAAUAUUUUAUUUUGAUUAUAUAAGUAAGUACAAAACAAACUUGUGGUAGGCCUAAACUUAUUUUCAGAAUAAUUACAUCUGAGACUUUGU